UAAUGAAGGUCGACCUGCGUUGCGGCGUCUGCGGCGGUGGACGACGGUGGUGGUUCACGGCUCGGGUUAUUUCAGUUUAGUCCGCACCGGUCAAACUGGUUCAAAUUGUGUUCGGGUUAGUUCACUCGGGUGAACUCAGGUGACUUGGUUCAGCUUGGUUCGGGUCUCGACUCGAGUUUCGGUCGACAUCAGUUCGGGUUCGGAAGUGGAGGUAGUCGUGGGUUACCCGUGUUUCGGUUCAAGACUUCAAGUUUAGUUUCAAUUCACUUGUUUCAGUCCAUGUUUGGGUCUCGGUUCAGCCUUCACCGAGUCAACUUGGUGUCUUGAGUUCCAGUUCAGUCAGAUUUCGGAUCGGGAUUCACGUCGGAGUUUAACGCGACUCGUUUCGGAUAAUCGCGUACGUUCGUUCUCUUGGA
rnacentral:lncRNA from 1 species